rnacentral:rRNA from 1 species
GAUGAACGCUGGCGGCGUGCCUAAUACAUGCAAGUCGAGCGAACAGACGAGGAGCUUGCUCCUCUGACGUUAGCGGCGGACGGGUGAGUAACACGUGGAUAACCUACCUAUAAGACUGGGAUAACUUCGGGAAACCGGAGCUAAUACCGGAUAAUAUAUUGAACCGCAUGGUUCAAUAGUGAAAGACGGUUUUGCUGUCACUUAUAGAUGGAUCCGCGCCGCAUUAGCUAGUUGGUAAGGUAACGGCUUACCAAGGCAACGAUGCGUAGCCGACCUGAGAGGGUGAUCGGCCCCCCUGGAACUGGGCCACGGUCCAGACUCCUACGGGAGGCAGCAGUAGGGAAUCUUCCGCAAGGGGCGAAAGCCUGACGGAGCAACGCCGCGUGGGUGAGGAAGGUCUUCGGAUCGUAAAACUCUUUUAUUAGGGAAGAACAAAUGUGUAAGUAACUAUGCACGUCUUGACGGUACCUAAUCAGAAAGCCACGGCUAACUACGUG